rnacentral:rRNA from 1 species
GACGAACGCUGGCGGCGUGCCUAAUACAUGCAAGUAGAACGCACAGUUUAUACCGUAGCUUGCUACACCAUAAACUGUGAGUUGCGAACGGGUGAGUAACGCGUAGGUAACCUGCCUGGUAGCGGGGGAUAACUAUUGGAAACGAUAGCUAAUACCGCAUAAUAUUGAUUAUUGCAUGAUAAUUGAUUGAAAGAUGCUAUUGCAUCACUACCAGAUGGACCUGCGUUGUAUUAGCUAGUAGGUGAGGUAACGGCUCACCUAGGCGACGAUACAUAGCCGACCUGGAAGGGUGAUCGGCCAAACUGGGACUGAGACACGGCCCAGACUCCUACGGGAGGCAGCAGUAGGGAAUCUUCGGCAAUGGACGAAAGUCUGACCGAGCAACGCCGCGUGAGUGAAGAAGGUUUUCGGAUCGUAAAGCUCUGUUGUAAGAGAAGAACGGGUGUGAGAGUGGAAAGUUCACACUGUGACGGUAUCUUACCAGAAAGGGACGGCUAACUACGUG